rnacentral:rRNA from 1 species
UACAGAGGUCCCAAGCGUUGUUCGGAUUCACUGGGCGUAAAGGGUGCGUAGGUGGUCGGGUAAGUCUGAUGUGAAAUCUCCAAGCUCAACUUGGAAACUGCAUCGGAUACUAUUCGGCUUGAGGGUUGGAGGGGGGACUGGAAUGCUUGGUGUAGCAGUGAAAUGCGUAGAUAUCUGGAGGAACACCGGUGGCGAAGGCGGCAUCCUGGACCGACACUGACGCUGAGGAGCGAAAGCCAGGGGAGCAAACGGG